CCAAACUUUACUCUUUUAUUAGAUAGCGAAUAUUGGAAAUGUAAAUUUCCUGUUUACAUACUCCAUGGAGUUUAUCAAAACAAUUCCCAGAACAAUAUACUCAUAAACUUGCUAAUAUAAUUGCAUUUUAUUUUGGAGGUUGGCAAACUAUGGAGCAGGAGCAUAGGCUGACAUUCCCUUGUGAACUACAACUGCAUUUUUGGGGCAUUUCACUUGCUGGAUAUUUUUUUAUGGCUUCUAAAGCGCAACUAAAAUUGCCACACUUAUCGUCCACUUGGAAGCUCGUUGGACAUAAUUUUGGUGGUUGCCCUAAAAUUAAAAGACCAAACCAAAAAAAGAAUAAAUUAGCAUCAAUAUCAUGACAAUUUAAAACAAAAACAGUCCAGUGUACAAAGUAUCCCGCGGUCACGCAGGAUACGAAAAAAGGCCGCACCCCAAAGGGGUAUAAGAUGCAAGCAUCAAUGGCUGAUUACAUGGCUCGAACUCGUGACCUAUAGGUCUGUUUACCCCCAAAAAAGGCACCGUUGAUUCAGUACAAAGUAGACAAUGAAAUUAUUUUCUCGGAUCAAUUUAAUUCACGUAUUUAUAAGCCAUAUUAUAAAUUCAAUUUCACCUUUUUUGAGGGUAAAUAAGAUCGCACGGAGACAAUGGAAUUAAAAUUAUUGCAAAAUCAAAUGAAAUAGAUUAAUGCUAACAAGUAAAGAAAUUCAUACCAAGAGAAGGAACUGAGAAGCUCAAUAGAAGAGCAAUUGAGAGUAGGGACAAAAUACUGAAAUUCUUCAUUAUUUAUUGGAUGGAUUCCCCACUUUCUGUAUGAUUUUUG
rnacentral:lncRNA from 1 species